UGAAGAAUACAUGGCUUUAUUCCUUCUGCGUGUCACCUGUCACGAUACUGUCCAGUGUUUAGAAGGUAAUGGUUCAGUGAAGAAUACAUGGCUUUAUUCCUUCUGCGUGUCACCUGUCACGAUACUGUCCAGUGUUUAGAAGGUAAUGGUUCAAAUAAUUUCUUCAUUUCAAUGCAAUAUAGUUUCUGGGAGAAAUAGUUUUUCUAAGACGUGUGCCCCAAAAGAACCACAGUGCCAGUUUAAACCAAAUCAAGUAUGUAGAUAUUUUUUAAGUUGAUAAAUGAAUCCUCUUAUUUGAAAUUGAACAAUUGUUUACAUUUAAUUUUAAUCUGCAAAAUGAUUUGAUUUGUUUGCAAUCGGUGCUUGUUCACCUGGGGCAUGUUCAACAGGACUCAUUGUUUUGGAACGUUCAAAAAACAAACAUGCAUCUCUGACAUGCAGAAUAAGGAGUCGCGUUGGCUCUACUUGUGGAAUCUUAUCUGCAUCUUUCGAGAAAAUGUUCGUAUUGUAUAUUGUUCACCAAACCAAUCAGCUGAUUCCGUCUCUAAAGUUUUACGGAAACUAAAUUGACCAUGGUCAACAUUGUAUGCUUUGUUUUUCUGAACCAUUGCUAAAAUAGUGGUCAAAUAAAAAUGUGCAUUUUGUUAUAGGCAUCUUUCACUUUACACACUUUACACAGGUAGAUGGUACAACUCAUCAUACCACAAUCCUUUCACCAGUUCUGAUCGGCGUAGGUACAACUUUCCUCUAAGGCCAUAGUUUCCAUUCUCCUAAUGCUUGUGUAGGACUCUGUGGUAGGGGAAUCUGGUCCUAGAUCAGUGCAGUUCAGCCAGGACAACGCCCACGCUGGUCUCUGAUCUGUGCUCCAUCUCCCAGAGGAUCUCCCCCACACGUCUCAGUUCAUCCCACUGCCCUUCAUGUUAACAAUACAGACUUCUUCUGAAGCGGAGCCCAGAAUAGAGAUGCCUUACAGACAGACUAGAACAGGAUUGUAUUUUACCACCGCCUGAAUGUCUUUUCUGUCUUAUUACAUGCUGACACCCACCCACUUUUUUGUAGUUUUUUUUUUUCAUUCCUCCCAGGUGCUCUUGGUGCUUUUGUCUAAAUGUGUUCAUCCUGUUACGGCGUGAGUGCAUUUCACCUGUAGUUCUCUUGUUUACAUCCAAUGUCACCGACUCCACUAACACGGGGAACUACUUUCUCAAUGAAGUGUUUAUUUUUUAAUAAAAUUCUACUCCAAAUAAAGGAUGCCACACAGUA